GGGGGUGUAAAGGUUUCGACGGGGGUGUGGAACCGGAAUAAGCGAGCCGUAGUUGCCGAGUCUACGUUAAAAGCGGCACGUUAAAGAUAAACGGAAAAACUGAUACUAAUUACGCAUUAGCAGCUUAGUCUGCCCGCGUCGUCAACCUUGAUUCACCUGUAGGUCAAGGAUCUGGCGUCGAAAUACAGGAAACCUUUGCGUGAGUUCCCGGUAGCGCAAAGGGAUUACGGGAUAGCGGAUUCCGCGGCUUGCCGGCUGUCUACGGAUGACGCGAAUUUAUAAACAAUCGGCUGCGCUCGGAGAAAGUUCUGCGGAAAUGCUUUCGGACGUGGGUUCGAUUCCCACCACCUUCACCA
rnacentral:tmRNA from 1 species